rnacentral:rRNA from 1 species
UUAGUGGCGGACGGGUGAGUAACCGCGGUAGGGUAACCUGCCUUGUACGUGGGGACAACAGUUAGGAAACGACUGCUAAUACCGCAUAAGCGCACAGCUUCGCAUGAAGCAGUGUAGAAAACUGAGGUGGUACAAGAUGGACCCGCGUCUGAUUAGCUAGUUGGUGAGGUAACGGCCCACCAAGGCGACGAUCGGUAGCCGGACUGAGAGGUUGAACGGCCACAUUGGGACUGAGACACGGCCCAGACUCCUACGGGAGGCAGCAGUGGGGAAUAUUGCACAAUGGGGGAAACCCUGAUGCAGCGACGCCGCGUGAGUGAUGAAGUAUUUCGGUAUGUAAAACUCUAUCAGCAGGGAAGAUAAUGACGGUACCUGACUAAGAAGCACCGGCUAAAUACGUG